rnacentral:tRNA from 1 species
UCCUGGUGGCUCAGAUGGUGAAGAAUCUGCCUGCAAUGCAGAAGACCUGGGUUCAAUCCCUGGGUCAGGAA